AUUGAACGCUGGCGGCAGGCCUAACACAUGCAAGUCGAACGAGUGGCGGACGGGUGAGUAAUGUCUGGGAAACUGCCUGAUGGAGGGGGAUAACUACUGGAAACGGUAGCUAAUACCGCAUACCAUCAGAUGUGCCCAGAUGGGAUUAGCUUGUUGGUGGGGUAACGGCUAACCAAGGCGACGCUCCCUAGCUGGUCUGAGAGGUUGACCAGCAAAACUGGACCUGGGCAACGGUCCGGACUCCUACGGGAGGCAGCAGUGGGGAAUAUUGCAAAAUGGGCGCAAGCCUGAUGCAGCCAUGCGGCGUGUAGGAAGAAGGCCUUCGGGUUGUAAAGUACUUUCAGCGGGGAGGCGUUACCCGCAGAAGAAGCACCGGCUAACUCUGUGCCAGCCGCCGCGGUAAUUC
rnacentral:rRNA from 1 species